rnacentral:rRNA from 1 species
UACCAGCACCCCGAGUGGUCAGGACGAUUAUUGGGCCUAAAGCAUCCGUAGCCGGUCCUACAAGUCUUCCGUUAAAUCCACCUGCUCAACAGAUGGGCUGCGGAAGAUACUAUAGGGCUAGGAGGCGGGAGAGGCAAGCGGUACUCAGUGGGUAGGGGUAAAAUCCUCUGAUCCAUUGAAGACCACCAGUGGCGAAGGCGGCUUGCCAGAACGCGCUCGACGGUGAGGGAUGAAAGCUGGGGGAGCAAACCGG